rnacentral:rRNA from 1 species
AACGAACGCUGGCGGCAUGCCUAACACAUGCAAGUCGAACGAGACCUUCGGGUCUAGUGGCGCACGGGUGCGUAACGCGUGGGAACCUGCCCUUAGGUUCGGAAUAACUCCCCGGAAGGGGUGCUAAUACCGGAUAAUGUCUUCGGACCAAAGAUUUAUCGCCUUUGGAUGGGCCCGCGUUGGAUUAGCUAGUUGGUAGGGUAAAAGCCUACCAAGGCGACGAUCCAUAGCUGGUCUGAGAGGAUGAUCAGCCACACUGGGACUGAGACACGGCCCAGACUCCUACGGGAGGCAGCAGUGGGGAAUAUUGGACAAUGGGCGGAAGGCUGAUCCAGCAAUGCCGCGUGAGUGAUGAAGGCCGUAGGGUUGUAAAGCUCUUUUACCCGGGAUGAUAAUGACAGUACCGGGAGAAUAAGCUCCGGCUAACUCCGUG